rnacentral:rRNA from 1 species
CUAGUGUAGCGGUGAAAUGCGUAGAUAUUAGGAGGAACACCAGUGGCGAAGGCGGCUUACUGGACAGUAACUGACGUUGAGGCUCGAAAGCGUGGAGAGCAAACAGGAUUAGAUACCCUGGUAGUCCACGCCGUAAACGAUGACUGCUAGGUGUCGGAGAGCAAAGCUCUUCGGUGCCGCAGCUAACGCAAUAAGCAGUCCACCUGGGGAGUACGUUCGCAAGAAUGAAACUCAAAGGAAUUGACGGGGACCCGCACAAGCGGUGAAGCAUGUGGUUUAAUUCGAAGCAACGCGAAGAACCUUACCUGGUCUUGACAUCCCGGUGACCGCAGAGUAAUGUCUGCUUUCCUUCGGGACACUGGAGACAGGUGGUGCAUGGUUGUCGUCAGCUCGUGUCGUGAGAUGUUGGGUUAAGUCCCGCAACGAGCGCAACCCCUAUCUUUAGUAGCCAGCAUUUAAGGUGGGCACUCUAGAGAGACUGCCAGGGAUAACUUGGAGGAAGGUGGGGAUGACGUCAAAUCAUCAUGCCCCUUAUGACCAGGGCUACACACGUGCUACAAUGGCGUAAACAAAGGGAAGCGAGACCGCGAGGUGGAGCAAAUACCAAAAAUAACGUCUCAGUUCGGAUUGUAGUCUGCAACUCGACUACAUGAAGCUGGAAUCGCUAGUAAUCGCGAAUCAGAAUGUCGCGGUGAAUACGUUCCCGGGUCUUGUACACACCGCCCGUCACACCAUGGGAGUCAGUAACGCCCGAAGUCAGUGACCCAACCGUAAGGAGGGAGCUGCCGAAGGUGGGACCGAUAACUGGGGUGAAGUCGUAACAAAGGUAGCCGUAAAGCC